ACUUAUAUAUAUCAACAUAAAGGGUUGAUGUUUCUACUGUUUUACCAAUAAAACAACUAUGAGU
rnacentral:ncRNA from 18 species